rnacentral:sRNA from 1 species
AACACAUGCAAGUCGUACGAGAAAUCCCGGGCAACUGGGAGAGUAAAGUGGCUCACGGGUGAGUAACGCGUGGGUAAUCUACCUUGGAGUUCGGAAUAACACCUCGAAAGGGGUGCUAAUACCGGAUGUCGUCCCGGGGGCCUCGGCUCCGGGGAUGAAAGAUGGCUGAGGCUUGCAAGCUAUUGCUCCAAGAUGAGCCCGCGUACCAUUAGCUAGUUGGUGGGGUAACGGCCCACCAAGGCAAUGAUGGUUAGCUGGUCUGAGAGGAUGGCCAGCCACACUGGAACUGAGACACGGUCCAGACUCCUACGGGAGGCAGCAGUGGG